rnacentral:rRNA from 1 species
UGGGGAAUAUUGGACAAUGGGCGCAAGCCUGAUCCAGCCAUGCCGCGUGAGUGAUGAAGGCCUUAGGGUUGUAAAGCUCUUUCACCCACGACGAUAAUGACGGUAGUGGGAGAAGAAGCCCCGGCUAACUUCGUGCCAGCAGCCGCGGUAAUACGAAGGGGGCUAGCGUUGCUCGGAAUCACUGGGCGUAAAGGGCGCGUAGGCGGCCGAUCAAGUCAGGGGUGAAAGCCUGUGGCUCAACCACAGAAUUGCCUUUGAUACUGUUCGGCUCGAGACCGGAAGAGGUUGGUGGAACUGCGAGUGUAGAGGUGAAAUUCGUAGAUAUUCGCAAGAACACCAGUGGCGAAGGCGGCCAACUGGUCCGGUUCUGACGCUGAGGCGCGAA